AACAGCAAGGGUAGAACCUCUUCUGAGUUUUUUUUCCCUCCCCCAUGGUCUAUCACAGAAAUAUUAAGAUAUGAAAGAAAAACUUUAACCAGGGCUGGGAAAGCAAGAUAAUUCCAAGGAUAAAAGUAUAGACUGUCAGCCAUACUUCCUGGCCAAGCACUGCCUCCAUAGCCCCACUGGAGGAAAAGGAGGUCUCCAGGAAAUUCAGGGGACUCCAGCCCCACAGGAGCCCACCCAAGAAGGAUAUGGCCAUGCAGGUUUGUAAACCUUUGACAAGACAACUUAUAAUAAUUAAACAUGUCGACUCGUUGAUCAAAAAAAAUUUUUUUUCAGAAAACAAAAGAAGGCCUUUGAGAGAUUAGCUCACCAGUGGGAUUUUUCACAAAGAAUGAUAAUUUUUCUAAAUUACAAGGCACAGACUUAAGAAUAGAGAACACCCAUUCAUACAGGAUGACAGCCACAGAAUGCUAAGCAAACCCCUUCCACCACUGACUUCUUUGAUUUUAAUUAGUGUGUGUGUGCUCUUUUUAUUUCCAGAAAGAAUUUCAGGUAAUUCCUGAGCGCAGGCCACAGAAGGCAAGAAAUAAAAGACUUCUUACCUGGACUAAUGUGCAUUUACUUUCCAACUCAUGGAUUCGCCCCUAGAUCUGUGAAGCAGCCACAAGUGGCCUGGAUGUUCGGGGUGUUUUAUACCUUUUUUGGCCUUAAUACUUAUUUGCAAGGUUUGUGUCAAUUUACAGGCUGAUGUGAUGAUUUCGAAAAUAAGAUUAUUCCUAGUAGCUUGUUUCAGUCUUGAUUAAAAGAUAGAUGUAAAAUAUGCAAAGAAUGAUGUCUGAAGACUUAAAGAUAAAAUUUACAUGGAAGCCACUAGUUUGAAGAGUUUCAAUCAGCUCCUCCAGCUCUUGUUUUUCUAAAGAAAAUUUGAAUAGCAUAUGCUUUUCAUUGUGCUCCUUUUCAGCCAUUUACAUAUUGGGGAAAUGUAUAUUUGGCAGCCGGUCCUAUUUUUAGGAGUCCUGGAAACUUGCCCUUUGAAAAUGUUUUCAUUUUUGGCACAUAUGUGUGUCUUAAACAGAAUGAAAACACAAAGCCAAAAAGAAAAAUAUGUACAAAAAGGAAUGAUUUUUCCAGCCCUGUGUAGCACAAUAAGAAAGCAAUCAUUCAGUUGUGACUUUAAAAAUGGAUUCUUGCCUGGAUUUUCCAACAAUUUCCUUCUAAAUGAGCGUUUUUCUGCAGAACUGAACUAAUGUAAAGAGACAAGUUGUUUCAGUGCCAGAACUGAACAAGCCAAAAAAAAAAAAAAAAAAAAAGGAUGGAGGCUAUAUUUUCAUAGGAGGAACUUAAAAUAAUACCCACUCUGUUUCUCUGCAGCUUCUCGGGUCAAUUCAGAAGAAGGUGCCAUAUGCCCAUUGCGUGACUUGAAGCGUGUUCUCCCAGCCUGACUCUUGGUCACCACUCGUUCUGUUAUUUGCAGUCAGUAACAAAGAUUCAUCCUUGUGUCCGUCAUGCAGCAAGGAGAAUCUUUGUCACUUAGUGUAAUUAACAGCUGGAUCUCGCAAGGCAAGGUGGGAGAAGGAAGCUGUUCGUGCAUAGACUCGGAUAAAUUCAGGGCAGGCUUUGCGGAUCCUUUCUGCCUUUUGACCAAUUAAGAUGCCAGAGCUCAAGCAGAGGAGGAAAUAUGGAAAACCCAAAUGCAGAUUCCUGUGACAUUAAGUGGACAAGAUGAAGAGUUAGCUCCUGCUGUAAUCCUGCUAUCAUCAAUCUGUGGAAUCUACCAGAAAGUGAAACCAGGCAGAGACUUGGGAGUUAAUCCCAGACUCCUUCCCCUAAAUGAUCCCUCCCACACCCUCCAAGUCGUGUCCACAUCCUGCUGAGCAGAUCAUGUAAAGUCACCUGAGCCUGUCCUCUGCUCUCUGUCCCCAGCACAUCCUCUCCAGUGUAGAAUUAGGAAUGGCAUUACAGUCCCUUCACUGUCUUUUACCUGCGCCCCAGAAGUAUUUACCCUUCAGCAACUCUGUUGCUCACACCAUCAACAGAGCUCUGGACCUGAGAGAUGGAUGUGGGGGUGACUGGAAAUUCAGUUCUCAGUGCCGCCCUGUCACUCACUCUCCACCUCGGCAUUCACAGCUUACCAAAGACCGACGCAGCCUUCUGGUAGACCCAUAAAUGGAGGCUACCAGGACCACAGCAGAAGCUGGUUCACAUCCUGUGGUGGCACACAAGGUUUUCCAAGGCCCAGUUUCCACUGCAUUUUAAUUUGAGCAAUACUGGACUGCCUGGAGGUCCCCAAACCCACCAGCCUUUGCACGUGUGCUCCCAGCAAAAUGCUCUG